rnacentral:lncRNA from 1 species
CACGGGGCGAGCCCGAUAAGAGGGCUGUGGACGUUCGGGUCUAGUUGGGAGAGACAGGGGUCCCUGACUCUUGAGCGGUCAGUCAUUUCCUCCCCAGUCCUUGUGGGUGACGUGGCUACGGUUUGGAGCAGCAAGCCCCCUCCCCGAACUAAAGGGCCUCUCCAAAGGUUAAGCCAGGGCAGUCAUUGAGGUCAAAACCAAUAUGUAGUUUCUUGACUGCAGGUGCCCAGAAAGUCGCGUCUCCCCUAACCCCCAUGCCCAGGACCUGAGGACAAAGGUCUAGCGAUUGUCCAUCCCCUCCCCCAGUGAGAACAGCCGGGAAAGACCUGCCUUUGUUGUGUACAGAUGGUGUCUCACUGUGUUAUCCAGACUGGACUCAAAUUUCUGGGCUCCAAUGGUCCUCUCACCUCAGCCUCCC